rnacentral:tRNA from 1 species
UGGCCCCAUCGUCUAGCGGUCUAGGACACCGCCCUUUCACGGCGGUAACACGGGUUCGAGUCCCGUUGGGGUCAU